AUGAAGAUGAAGAACAGUGGUUUGAUAUUUUGGCUCUCUUUCCCAUUGCAAGCUUGGAAUGGAAACAAGUUCUGCUAUUCCCUUGGCUCCAUUUCCCCAGAGGUUCCUCCUUGUGCAAAAGAGCCUGUGCUUGGAAGGGCUCCCGACUUUCUGCACUGUUCACUGCUGCUGCUUCCCAGCUCCCUGUGUCCAAUACAAGUGCAGAGCAAGCCCUUGAGUGCUUUUCAUGCAUCGCUAGCCAAGAUACACAGUGGCGGAGCACAUUUUGGAAGGCAAAAAGUGUGCUUGUCAUUGAUACAUGACCUACUUUGAAAAACGCCCCUUGGCACCACAUACUUCUUUUGUGUGUGGUCAGCAUUGAUCCCCACUCAUUAAGUUCUUAUUCUCUUUCAUAAACCAACAUAAAGUCCUGUUUCCACUUGGAAUACUUUGUGUCUUUCAAAGUGUUUUUGGAGCUGUUUUCUGCAGAAGUUUGAUAUUUUGGUGUGGUGUAUCUAGGGGCAGUCGUUCACCAGUGCAGCAUGUGCACUGAAGCACAUUGAUGUGGCCUCACCACAGCGUGACUCCUGCAUGAAGUUCUUUAAAUAUUUAAGUCCAGUGAUUCUACUCAGUUUUUAAAGGAAUAUGCAGUGAAGCUUGGCCACUUCCUCUAUUGUGAUGUUGCGCUCUAGGGUGACUCAAGACUAGGUUCAUAAUGCCUGAUUCCUGGAUAUCAGAAGAGAACAAGCUCAAAAUCUCGCUCCUCAACAGGGGGGAAACAAAAAUUAACUUGUAAGUAUUUCCUUAUAUUAUUUCUGGGCUAAAUUUAUUUACUCCCUUUUUUAUUUUUAUUUAUUUAUUUUUAAUAUUUGUGCAGUACUGGGGAGAGCUGAAAGUUUAUAUAUUCAUUGUGUAACAGUUGCCUGUACAGAUGAGAAAUGUGGGUGGAAUAAUGCAUGAGGUUUUAGCACCGAAGCUCAGGAAGAUGGUGGACAAUUAUUCCAAGCCAGUAACUUAAAUGGGUCAGAUGAUUUUAAGUCAGUGGUGUUAAUGGUCUUACCUGAAAGCACUACCAUGUAGAACAUAAUACAGCAGAGGCUGCUCAACCACAUGCUUUGAUCUGAUUUUAUUGCACUACAGCUUACCUUGAUGCUAUUUAUGUUCAGAAAUACUCAUUUAAUGGAAAAAUUUAAAUACAUACAUUUCAGUUACUUUUCAGUUAACUUUUCAAUACUUAGAGAAUUA
rnacentral:lncRNA from 1 species